UCAAGCAAGUAAUUAAAAAAAAAAACCGUAAGUAAUCAUUAGCUUUUGAAUGAUUAGAAUGAAUGAUUUUGAAUGAUUAUUAUUAUUUAGGUGCUUAAAUGAAUUUCGAUUGUAUACACCAUUCAUUUUAUAAUUAAUACGUAAUAAGCAUCAAAUCUCUUCAACCCAGCACCUUAAAAUAAUUAUUAAUUGGGUCUUAGCAAUAACUCUAUGUCAUUACAUUUUAACAAUAAUUUUUAUACUCAUUCAUAAUUAUAUAAUUUUAAAAUAUUAAAAUAAUUUAAUUAUAAAUUAUUAAAAAAACAAACUUUUUUUUAAGUACAGAUUUUUUUAAGGAGUAAUUUAAUACAAGAAAUGUCAACUAAAAUUUCCAACCCUACGCUACAAGCAAAUUCAAAUUCAACUAUUUUUUUUAGAAAACAAAUUCAACUACUAUAUAAUUAUUUUUUAAUAUCAAAAUAAUACAAUAAUUAAAUAUUUAAAAAAAUAGAAUUAAUUGUACAUUGGGACCCAUGAGUAAUAGAAGAGAGGGUGUCUAUACAAGCACCCACCUUCAUAAGCAUCAUAUUCAUUGAUGUCGCAAAGGGGAUCCUAUUUACAAUGGUGCUGAAUAGGGGAAGGACUCCCCAUUGUAGAUGGUCUAAUAACUAAUGUAUAAUGAUUAUAAUUGAUUUAAUCAUUAACCUUUGCCAAACUCUCCUCCUCCCAAGCGAUUAGAAUGAUUAGAAUGGGUGUUGUAAUGUAAUCUUGAUGUAUUUAUUUAUUUUUUUUCUAUUUCGAUUCAGGUGAUCCCACUUGAGGUACGGAUGACUUGACAUUGUUUUAUUUUGGGUGAUUCUCUUUUCCACGUCGUGUGGCAGAUGAAUCACUUUUGUUUAAUCUAAGUUCUAUUUUGAUUUGUUAAAAAAAAUAUCAUCAGCCUUUGAUUUCAUUCAUUGAUUUAAGAUCCUAUGUUAGCAAAUUAAAAUUUAAAUCAGAAACCAAAACAGUGCUUCGUGGUCAUUUUAAAAAAACAAUGUUUUACCGUCAUUAAUGUUGGUGGCCAAACGUAUGUGUCUGCUUUUUUAAUUUUUUUAUAUUUUAGAAAAAUAAAAUAUCUAAAAUCAUAGUAACCAAACAUCAAUACAAUAUAUGUUUUUAUAUAUUUUUUUAUUUUAGAAAGACUUAAAUAGGUCUUUCGUCUCUUUAAAUAUAGGUCAUUUGAAUUUUCGUCCCUGAAGUUACUAAUCCUUCCAAUCUGCCACUGCAAAUAUUAAUCAUUUGAAAAAUGGUCCUAAUUACAUCUGAUUAGUAACAUCAGGGACAGAAAUUCAAAUGACAGAUAUUUGCAGGGACGAAAGACCUAUUUAAGCCAACCAUCUCGCCCAAUCAUCACUUGCCACAUGGGCUCCACAUCACUAAUGACAGCCCACCUCAAAAACAAGAUAAAUUAGGACAAAAAGUCAAAUGAUUAAUAUUUGCAGUGACAAAUUGGAAGGAUUAAUAACUUCGCGGAUGGAAAUUCAAAUGACCUAUAUUUACAGGGACGAAAUACCUAUUUAAGCCUUUUAGAAAAAUAAAAUUUCUAAAAUCAUAGUAACCGAACAUCACAUACAAUAUAUGUUUUUUUUUUUUUUUUUAAUAUUUUGUCAGGAAGUUGGAUAUUGUACCGAUACAACUUUUAGUUUAAUUAUAUAGUUUAAAGGAUCACAACAUAAAUCAGAUCAAAUAUGGUGGAUGCAAAUAAGUCAAACUGCCUCAUCAUAUGGCUAGUUGGAAGAUAAACUUUUUGGUACUAUCGUUGAUUAGGUAAUUAUUAUUUUAUUGUUGAUUGUCAAUGUUACAAGUAAAUUCCUAAAGGACAAGGAAUGAUUUAGGUUUGGGGAUUGUGAUGACAUCCUGUCAUCAUGUAAUUUUUGAUGUAUUUUCUAAGGAUAGUUGAGUUCACAGCAAGUUAGGACAUGUAAAAGGUGCAAAAAGCAGGAAAAAUUGAAGUAUUUAAGCAAGAGACUAAUCGUGACACGCUAUGAGCAAAUCGGAUCACGAUUUCAAGACCAAGAAAGUGGUUGGUUCUACCUGCUAAAUCGGGACACGAUAGCAUUUUCGUGUCACGAUUAUGAAAAAAUGAUUUUGGAUCCAUGGGCUUUUUAAGAAGGAAUCAGAACAUGAUUGCCCUAAAUCGUGUCACGAUUGGGCGCGUGUUAUACCUAUUUAUGUUGAAUCUAGUUCCUGAAACAAGGGUUACGAAUUCAGGAGAGAGAAAGUACGAUUUUGAGACCUGAAGACUGAAGAAAUGGGCGAUUUCCUCCAUUCUUUACCGGUUGAUGUAUAUUUUAAUUCUUUAAUUGAUUAUGCUAUUUGUAAACUCAAUUAUGAGUAGCUAAAUCUCUUAGAUAUUAGGUCUGAGAUGAUUCUGAUGUAUCCCUAAUUUAAACAUGUUGCUGUGAAACUCUAUUUCUUAUGAAUAUCAAUAUAGUUUUAUUC
rnacentral:lncRNA from 1 species